UAUUUGAUACGAGUUUAUUUGUGAAGUAAACUAUGAUACAUUUAUGUAGUGGAACACCAUACACCUAAUAAAAAUUAUCACACAGACUAUUACUCAAAACAUUCAUGUAAUAUACUAUUUAUUAUACAGUUAAAUUAUUAUGUUACCAAGCAAUAUAGACACAGUGAAAUUAUACUGUUUUCAUUCAAAUUGAAUAUAAAUAGAUAGAAACCAAAAAACUAAAAUGUUAACAGCAGUCAUUUCUAAGUGAGGGGAUUAUUACUGAUUUUAUUUUCUUAUCUUUCUUUUCUAUAUUUUUUAUUUUUCUCAUAAAGAACAUAAGUACUUACAUAGUAAAGAAAAAUAAAAGCCAUGUAAGUCCCUCGUUUGAAAGUUAUAAUAUUAAUAGAAGAAAUCAGAAUACAACUCUCUAUCUAAAGUAUUAUCCAAAUUUUGUUUUUAAAUAUUUGGACUAUAAUACACAUGCUUCAGAAUACCUCGGAAAUAUAUAUAGGAUUAUUCCCAUGGCUUAGAACUAUAGGUGAUUUUUGUUUUAUUCUUCAUAUCUCUGUUUUGCCAAGUUUUCUGCUGCAAACAUGUAUUUUAUAUAAUCAGAGAAAACAACAACAAUCAUAGAACACAUAGAAGUCGAAUCCGAGUUUUCUUAUUUUAGUUAAAAUACUAAAAAAUAAAGCAGAAUAUUGAGUGUAUCUGGGGAAAUUAGAAGGAAAGUGAAUACUUCUCUUUCUUUUCUUUAAACUUUAUUUUUAAGUGGCUUCCUGACUGCCAUAAUGUUUACCAAACUCAGUGCUAAGAUUUUCAUUGACAAGCACAGGCAUGCUGUAGCCCGCUUUCCUGUAGAACUGUCACAAUAAAAAGACAUUCACAUUUUAGUAUUUGGGCAAAAUGUUUAACACUCAAACAUUUGUAUUUUUCCUUCAGUUUUCAAAACAACUUUAAAUCUCUCUUUUCAAAACAGCGUUAAAUGAUGUCACUCAUUAGCUAGCAGGUGGCUGGCAGUGGAGAAUUGUGUUUAAUGCUUCCAUUUCCAAUGCAGCUGGAAGCACAGACCAGGUGAGCGUGCAGUGUGCGGGUUCAACUUAGGAGCUGCAGGCUGGGCAUUGAGUAAACUGGGGGCGGCACAGCAGCAAGCUGGGGUAGACCUCCGAGCCCCAACCAGGAACGUGAGGCAUGAAGUCCAACCUUACACUGUCUGCAUGGAGAUAGAUCCGGGAAAAUCAAGCCACUGGUAAUAAAGGAAUCAGUGCCGCCCAGAGUAUAAGAGCCAUGUGUCCCACAGAAGAAACCACUGUUGGAAGUCCAGCUGUCAUUUUAGGGCAGACUGAAAAGGAGAUACAGAAAGUAUCAGGGAAGUCAGCCGGGAGGGCCAUCCUGACCUGAGCUUAGUGACAGCCGAGAAAAAGAACGUGGCAUCAGUGACGAAGUUCACAUGGUACUGGUUGUGAGGUUUGGCUACAAUAGAGGAUGAGGUGGCAAUGAUGAUAAACUGCCAUCGAACAGACAUAAAGGAUGAAAUAAUCUUGAAUCCCUCCUGAGCCUACCAAGCCAGGCUAAGCCCAAAGAGUCUGGAGAAGGCUCUGCAUUUGGAUACCCAGCCCCUGCACUGGAGGAAAGCUGUGCAUCUUCAAUGGAAUUUCUCAAUCCAAAUGGCUGGGGUGAGGUCAAAAGCAUGCUCUUACCCAAGGUAUUUUAAGUGUAGGAGUGAGAGGUAUGCUGGGAUUUCAUUAAGAUCUCUUUGGGGAACACAGAACACUUAGUGCCUGUCUAGGCCUUGUUUGUAUCAGUACCAGGUUUGCAGCCAGACGGAUUUUUCAGCCCUACCCAUAACCAUUGCCCCCGAGUUGCUCAAGGGGACAACAGGGAUUCACCCAAACCAGCCACUGAGUCAGCCCAAGGGACUGGAUUAAGUCUUCUGUGACCCUGUGCUUGGAGGUGCAGAUGGCCUAACUUGUGGCAUGAAAUGCCACUGGUAAUGGGCGACACUAAGACCUGAAAUUUCCCGGAAAGGCCAGCAUGGUAAGUGUGUUUGCUUCAUAACAUUUUUGUGCAGAUUAGGUGAGAAGAGAGGCUGUAGGUUCAGUGUGGAGGACAGGGGCCAGCUCAGAGCAAACGCCCAAGUGUGAGUCCUUAGAGCCUUAUUAUUCCUCGCACUUCACCUUUGCUUC
ensembl:lncRNA